rnacentral:lncRNA from 1 species
CAUCAUCAUCUGCCUCCUCCUUCUGCUUCUCUCUAGCAGCUGGUGGAUGAGAGUCAGAUGUCCCAGCAUCCUGUAAUAAAAAAAUAAAAUAAUAUUAAUAAGUUUUGACAUGGAUGUAUAUCUUUCGAUAUACUCAUUCGAUUCUCGAACAGAUUAUUCCUACAUAUUUUAUUCGAUGAUACGGAGCUAUAGACAUCUCC